AUUUUGAUUUCUGCAACAAGAAGAUAACUGCUACCUCUGCAAUUUUGACAUAAUUAGCUAACAACACUGCCCUUUAAGUGCCUUACGGCCUAUCGCUUUGUUUGCACUUUUGUUGUUGUUUACGACUCUAUCUAUACUAUUUUUAACAUCUCUUUACUCUACUUUUAUUUUAUUUCAUCUUCUGUUGUUCAUGUACUGAAACCAUUUGGUUUUCGUCAAGAUAAACCACAAUAUUGCUCCCAUGUGCUACCUCCACGCAGCCUGUAGUUUCCCACGGCAAAGAUUCAAGAUAAAAUGUACGGGGAAAAUAUUGUUUUUCUUUACCUUUUUUGCACUUUGUAAUAGUAAUUCAUACCCUUUUUUUUUGUUUUGUUUUGUAUUUUGA
rnacentral:lncRNA from 1 species